GUCUACAAGGUAAGACAUCCGUGAUCCGACAUCCGACCAGCGAUAGCGGCAACUUAUCGCUUUUCGAUUAAGUGAAGUCGUGAAAAAUCGAACGUGCUCUCGAGAGAUUGUUCAGCCAGGGCGGAGAUGCCUCAGUCCGAGUAUUGCAUUAUCCGGAUGACGCAGAGACUAUCUGAGAUAUUAAACAAGGAAAUAAUACUCGCGAGAGUUGCGAAUGUUAAAUGGAACGUACCCAGUGUCGUACGAUUUCUAGCAUGUACGGGAACGAACGCCUAUUUUUUGUUGAAUAGUAUAUUCUUAAAACGAAUAUAUUCUUAAAACGAAAUUAAAAAAUCCGUUGCAAAAAUACCAAUGGCGAAUCAGUAACCUGCUCCAAAUGAAUCAUUUUCUUUGCCAGCCAAUAUGCAGAUUUUCAUCGAUACCUAAAACAACCGAGGAAGAAGGAGAAUUUUGAUAUAUUCUUUUCAACAAGUGUUCUGCUAUGUUAAGGAAAGGAUGGCGAUAGAAAAACGAUAAUAUUCUCCAGAAUGAUAUAGACGAUAUAAUAAAAAUUAACCAAUAACGAACAUGCAUGGCAGAGGUUUUUAAAUGGGUAGCUCUUCAACGUGAGAAUGUGGCAAUCUCAAGCUGCGCAGCAGCUUUUGGAGAGGCAGCAUCUAAAUAUUCUCGUGCGCGUGUUUGCUAUUGGACGGGGUAUGAACUACCGUUUAAUCGACAUGAUUGAUCAUAGAUCGCUGUGGAAAAAACGUUAGCUUUAUUAUCGACUUUGAGUAUGUCGACUGAUAGUGGGAAAGCCAACGAGAAGUAUAACGUUACUCGAUGUGAAACCUGCGAUGGAUUCCUGCGAUAAUAUUAAAGAAUGUCCAUGCCGCAUCUAUAAUGACUAUUUGAUGGACUUUAGUUGGACAUACAUCAGACGUUUGAUUAAGAUCUAUAAAUUUAAUUAAAAUUUUAAACAUGUGAUAUGUUUCCGACAUUCUGUGGAAUACACGUGAUGACUAAUACAUGGACGUCCAAUGGACAUCCAUUGAAAUUAAUAUAUAUACAGGGCGUCCUAGACUAUCGUGCUUCGCCAUUAAUAACAGAUUUCUGAGAUUAAUAUAAGCGAUUAAAGUUCUCUAUAUAUAUAAUCACAAAGCUGAAAUUUCGUGCGCUCAGGCAUUGCAGAGCCCUUCAACUUCAAAAUUAUCGUAUUAGAGAACUUUAAUCAUUAUUAAUUUAAAAACUAUUAUAGCCUCGACAUUUUCU